rfam:Oryza glaberrima chromosome 2 Oglab02_0058_25, whole genome shotgun sequence.
AAUAAGUAUAGUUUUGCACUAUUCAUGUCCAACAUUUGACCGUUCGUCUUAUUUAAAAUUUUGUUAUUAUUAUUAUUUUUUAUUUUAUUAGAUGAUAAAACAUGAAUAAUACUUUAUGUGUGACUAAUUUUUAAAAAAUCAUAAAAUUUUCAAAUAAGACGGACAGUCAAACAUUGGACACGGAUUCCCACGGCUGUACUUAUU